rnacentral:rRNA from 1 species
AUGGAAUACGUGGAUCGCUUCUCCGAGUUAUUUGAUCAGCUAGCAACAUGUGAGCAUUAUCCCAACACAGUUCACUAUGCCAUUCAUUUCAUGGAGGGCCUGAAACCUGCAGUUAGGAUUGUUGUACGAAUUCAGCAACCAGUUGAUCUUGACUCCGCUUAUCAACUUGCCCUGCUGCAUGAGGAACCGGACACAGGCAUGAUUGCAAGCAAUUCCAUAGGUGCACCAUCUCUUCACUCCACGGUUGUACCCCUUCCCCUGCCUCCUACCUCGACCACGGUCAGCACCAUGGUUCAACUCCAUGUGGUACAAGAGAUGGUUUAA